CCGGGCCGGGAGCCGGGAGCCGGGAGCGGAUCCGAGGUGCCCUGACUCGCCGCUGACCGCCCCUCCUGGGCUGGGCCGAUAGCUUAUCGGGUCCACUCGGGGGGCGCCCAGUGCUACAACCGGAAACGCGGCUGGAGGCCAGUGGAUGCUUGAUGGAGCAGUUCGAGCCGUGGUGCGCGCGCGCCAGGGCUUAGGCUCCAAGUAAAGGCCCUCUUUAUCCAUCCACCCGCAACCAGAAAAAUACACCCAAAAUACAAUUUUGAGAACAGCAUUCAGACUCUGAAGACCUGUGACAGCCAUCCAUGGAGUCAUGUUAAGAACCUCCACUCCAACUGACCCAAAGCUCACAGCCCUAGAGGAAAAGAAGCCUGUUUGAGGAAUUCCACCUUGGCUCCAUGUCUCUGAAGAGGCUUGUCCCAGGGAGUAUAUGGGAUCCUCGCUCACACACAACCCAACAGCUGACCCACAAUGGCACACCUGCCAGUAUUGGCUUGGUCCUGCAAACCCCUGGCUAAGCAUCCACGGCUCAGCUGAGGGCAGUGAGAACAGUUCAAGUCGCCAGCUGAAGUGGUCUUUAACACCCCCCCGGCCUUCUCAGCCUCACUGUUUAUCCAUAUGAAGGGCUCUCCUUCCCGGCCCACUCCCACCCCCACCUUUCUGGCUAUAAAAAUAAACUAUUUUUCCUUGUUAAUAAAUCUC